UAUCGAGAUAGCCAGGAGAUUUGAAGCCGCCCAUGGGAUCCCUCAAAUUAUAGGACUGAUAGACGGCACCCAUAUCCCUGUGCUGCCUCCAUCAAAUGGAUACAGGGACUUCGUGAACAGGAAAGGCUGGCCGUCCUACGUCCUGCAGGCUGUCGUGGAUGACAGAUGUUGUUUUAGACACAUAAGCUGCAAGAUGCCGGGCAGUGCUCAUGACGCCAAUGUUUUGAAACAGUCUGACCUUUUCAAGAUGGCUCAUCUGUUAGAAAGAGGAGUGAAGGACAUCGAGGGAGAGAUAGUGCCAGUCCAGAUUGUUGGUGACCCUGCAUACCCCAUCCUUGAUUGGCUCAUCAAGGGCUACAUUAACUCCCCAAAUUUAACACCUGAGCAAGAGUCCUUUAAUGUAUACCUGAGUUCUGUCCGAGUGGGAGUUGAGAGGACUUUUGGCAUCUUGAAGUCAAGAUGGAGGGUUCUCCUAAAACGCAGUGACUUCCACUAUA